rnacentral:rRNA from 1 species
UACGUAGGGGGCAAGCGUUGUCCGGAUUCAUUGGGCGUAAAGAGCGUGUAGGCGGCCAGGUAGGUCGGUUGUGAAAACUGGAGGCUCAACCUUCAGAGGUCGACCGAAACCAUCUGGCUAGAGUCCGGGAGAGGAGAGUGGAAUUCCCGGUGUAGCAGUGAAAUGCGUAGAGAUCGGGAGGAACAUCAGUUGCGAAGGCGGCUCUCUGGACCAGCACUGACACUGAGGCACGAAAGCGUGGGGAGCAAACAGG